GAAUAGCUCAGUUGGUUAGAGUGUGGUGCUGAUAAUACCAAAGUCACAGGUUCAAUCCCCACAUGGGACA